GGCUGUCUGGUCAUCGUCUGCAGAGGAGCGGACUAAACCCAAACCCCAUUCAGGCGAGUCUCACUGAUUGUGAGACUCGCCUCCAUGAGAUGAAUGGCCUGAGCAGCCAGGCUGAAGAUGUCGUGUAGGGGGACCUCAUUCCCAGCAGACAAGUCUUCCAUCCCUUCAAGGUGUGGGACUCUCCUCCGAAUCUGUGGCCACUGGAAUCCCAUCCUCCCAGCAGUUCGGAAGAAGCCCACCUGAAAAUGACACGACACUUGUUCUAGUCCUCCUAAGAAAACUCAACUUCUGCUUCACAAACAACUUUGUCCUGGGGCUGAAAGGUAAAUGAUACUUAUCAUGGAAUUAUUAUCAACUACCCUCACUUUUUCCUCUGUAAGCUGUUACCUAUCACAGUAUUUUUGAGUUUGUCAUUGCUUCCAUGGUUGAGUUGAAUAGAGUCACUGAAGAAUGUUCACUUAAAAGCACUCUUGCAGAAAUGAAAGUGACACCACCAAUCUAGUGAACAACUGGCUGAGCAAGGAUUGGAUCAUUCCGCUCUAAAAGCUGCUCAGCCGAUCCUUAAAAUCAGGCAAAAGCACAUCUCUUCCAUUUGACUUAUUGGACUGGUUUGGGCUUCUUGAAAAAGCUGCUUCUUAAGACCUCGCUCUGAUAGAUUUUGGUCAUUGAAACUCUCUGGAAGGGUUGUCUAAACCACAUUUCCCAGAUAAAUACAGUCCACAAGAGGACCAGUCUUGGACAAUUCCAUGCACCAACCUUUCUUGAGUUGUUAUGCUCCCCCUUUUUUUCUUACGCACUUCAGGAUUGAAAUGCUUCCAAAUCUCAAACAUCUCUCUCACCCUAUAAAACAAAACAAAAAGACAAAACAUUGAGUCUCCGGCUCAAAUGGCUAUUCAACCACUCCCACCCUCCCCAUUCUGAUACUCAUACAUUUACCAAACUUCUCCUCCUCAUUGAACUCUUCCAGGACAAGAUUGUCUGAAGGGAAGAGAAGAGAAAAGAUUUGAUUUUCUUAUUUCAAUUGACUAAGAGAAGAGGUAAGGAGGGACUUGUCCAUGUUGAAUAAAUGAGGAGGGUCUAAUGGGUCACUUUUUGCACUGAGCAUCCCAAAGCGGAAGGCAAGCAUGGCUUUCCAGACCUCGCAGUUUAGCUGCAAGGACUUUCCCAAGAAGAACCAUGUUUGCCCACGUGAGUGGGGUUGGGAGUUUGAGACAUGCCCACUCUGGAGGCCUGCCACAGAGAGAUCAGAGCAAAACUGGUGCUCCUUGGAGGAAUGAUGGCCUUUGUUGCCCAGGCCCAUUCUGGGAUUCCAAGGAGACAGUUCUGCCUUCCCCACUUCCCUGGAAAUUGGCAUUACCUUUGACGGUGCUUUUGAUCAAACAAUGAGUCAACUCAUCUUCAAUGCUAGAGAGAUCCUUCCAUGUGGCCAGCUGUAGAAAUAGAGAUGGACAUGUUUCUUUCAUGUCAAUCUGACACCAUAUCCAAAGCAGCUAAGAAUUUAAGAUGAUCCAGUUAGGUACAAAGUUGAGGAUUCCCAAAGAUAGAGUGUGGCUCUUCUGGGCACUGGGCAGCCAGAAGAGGCAUGGGGUGGGGAGUGGGGGCGGGUGACAUCUCUGUCCUCUUCCUCGGUGAGCCCCAGUGGAAACAGCUCCUCUCCAGCAAGUGUGCUGCCAGGCAGCCCACGUGUGAACAGAGACCAGUUGGAGGUCCUUCUGAACCUGGAACCUGACAAGGGGUCCCAGAGGAUGCUGAAGCAGAGCCAAGCCAUGUCCACAGCAGGGUACUUACUUCUAAGUUGGGCAGUCUGCCCACGUGCAUCAGAGCAUAGCCGUAGGCUUCUUGGCCGAGAGCCUACAGCCAGGGCUCCUCCGCAUUGAUGUACCUGUGGAGCUCCUGUGGGUUGAAAUGGCAGCUCAGAGUCAUUGAACUGGCCUAAAUCAUCCCUUGUCAUGCUACUGAGAGCUAAGCCCUGAAGGAAUUUGCCCCACUGCAGGAAGAUCCCUUGAUUGCUGUCCCAAAGGAAUCUAAGGAUGACCUAAUUCCAUAUAAAUAUCCCCCCAAAUUAAGUUGACAAGAUCUUCAAUAUUUCUGAAGGUUGCUUAUGGGAGUGAUGGUUUUCUCUGUCUUCUCAGUCAGUUUGCUUCUAAUAGGGAAGUGACCUAGACAUAUCUUCAACAAACAAAGAGGAUGGGGUCUGCUGUCUCUUUCUGUCAGGCCUCGUUUGGAUGUCGGAGAGGAUGAAGACAGAAGCCCCAUUCACACCUUAUGUUCCACACUUGAACCACGAGUGGACAAUGCACAGGUGCAGAUCUGGACACAGGGACAGCAAUUCAUACAUGAUGUUGAAUACAGGCACUGCUUGACACUUCCUCUCUGUACCAGGCCUGUGAGGGGCCCGUGCCUGGUUUCUCUUUGAAAAGGAAUGCAACUACAGUCAUGCACAGAAAAUCACGUACCAGUGUUCAGACACCUGCACACAUGUACUACCUAAUGUCUCGAUAGGGCUCUCACUGCACUUACCUUCAAGAAGCCGAUUGUGUUGUGGACAGAGGGGGCCUCCUCCAGCAGCCCCCCGAGCAUAUUCUUAAAGGAUUUCAUGUUCUCCUUCUAGGGUGGAAAGAGAAGAUCAGUCAUAAGUAGGAGACACAACCGGUCUUGAGCAUACAACAUUGAAAAAAUCACUCGUACUGAUGGUGGUAUCACGUCUUCUUCGCAAGAGAAAAAGUGCAGUACGAAUUUACCUGGGUCCCUGGGUCCAGUUGGUUCACCCUGGAUACCGCCACGUUCAGGACUGCUGCCUUUAGAUUGAAGGGCAUAGCCAGCUUCAUUUUGCUGGAGGGAGAAAGAUUAGAUUUCGUCGUGUGAGGAGGGCUGGUCAUCCAGCCAAUUGAAGCUCAUCUAGCGAAGAGGAACAUGGUAACCCAGCAAGCGUAAAAAAUGACGACAGGUCUGUGAUGGUUUCGCUUCUUUUUUUCAAAAAUGACCAAUCCCAGUCUGUGGAGGCCCUGAUUUGUAAAAGGCCGUAGUACUUAACAAGAUUUUUUUAUAAAACAAAAACCUUCACAUUAAUGGCCAUCUUUUGGAAAAGGGGAGAUCCAGUUACAGAUCUUGCCUGGUUUGCCCCUGCCCUUCCCUGACACAAUCCCCUCCUAUUUAAUCCCUGUGGGCUAUAAGCAUACGUGAGGUAUGUGAUGGUGUCCAUAGUGAACUUCAGAAGGAACCCAGGGUACGGACGUUUCAUUAUGUCCUCCAUAAUUUCCUGGCAGAGAUCAAAGAGCAGAAGAGAGUUGGUCAGUACCCACGGACUUCCUUGGGAUAGCUGCAUCCCCAAACACACACUUUUGACUGAGCCUGCACUUGGGCAUUCUCUUCCAUUCUCUGCAGCAUCUCACUCACCAGUAUGGUGUCCACGGCCUCAUUCUUCUCAUAGGAGAGCAUUUCACAUCCCAACGACUUGGCAUCUUUAACACUCUCCAUAACAGAGGACAAGAACUGGGUCUAGCAGAAGAUGACCUGAAAAUUAGAAGCACUGAACUGUUAGUGAUGGAAGGACUCUUCGUGCCUUCCUGGAAAUGGAGUGGGCACCCUUACUUGGUGGGCUGCUCUCAAGUCCUUUCUUGGGACCCCAAACCCUCCAUGGAAUAUUCUGCAGCUGCUGCUUCUCAGGGAGACUGGAGAACUGGGGAAGGGAUCAGAGCAGAGAGUAGAUGCUCCCAGAUGGGGCAAAUGCCUCUCACAGAAAUGUCCUGGGCUCUGUGGAAGAAGGCCCUCUACACAAUGGUUCCCUACCUCAGUUCUGUCCAUUUCCUCCACUACAGUUGUCAGACCUGGAAUGGAAGAAGAAUGGGAAGGGAGGGGGGAUUCAGGACUUGAAUUCCCAUGAGGAAUUAACCAACGGGAAUUCCCUUUGUAGGAAUUCAGGCUGGCUCCCAGGCUCCCAAGCACCAGCUAUCCCACCCUCCCCAAAGAGUCACCCCCAGUCCCAACCAUACCCCAGGAGCCUGGGGCACCUCCUCAGGAAUGGUGACUCCGGAUACUGCCGGGGACCCCCUUGCGGGAGUUGGAGGUGGCGCUGGAGUUGGCUCAAUUUCUGUUUAAAGAACCUCCCUCUGGGGGGCUUGCCCUUGGCAGAGUCACUGGUGGGGGAGGUCUUAAAGAGCCGCCUGCAGCAACAGCAGACUCUUCGCAGCCUAGAAGAGAGCAGGGAGAAGGUGAGAAAGCGACCCUUAAGCAGACAUUGGCAGGAGAGGGAGCCAAUGGGGCAGGGAAGGAUUGCAGACCGCAAUACAGGUAGCCCAGUAGGCUUCAAGGUGGUGCACCGUCCUUCUUCUGGCUGAGGAAAUGGGUAGAGAUAGCUGCCGGAAAUGGGUAGAGAUAGCUGCCCCAACAACAUAUGGGGUGAAGUUCUGUUCAGCCAAGCCCAGCCAGAUUAUGUUAGAGCUGUGAAAGCUGCAGAAAAGGGCCAUGAAAGAGCUGAGGGGUGGAACACGGAGGCAGAAUUACAGGCUCCGAUGGCCCUGCCAGGGACACCAGGCUUCUGGACUUAGAAGUGGUGCUGCUGGUGCCGGACUGCGCACUCCUAGGUGCUCCAGCCCGCUUCUCUUGGUUGUGACCCAGCCUCCUCCUCUGGGUGCUCCAGCCCCCUCCUCCAAGUUGCGACCCAGCCUCCUAGGUGCUCCAGCCCCCUCCUCCUGGUUGCAACCCAGCCUCCUCCUCUAGGUGAUCCAGACCCCUCCUCUUGGUUGGACCCAGCCUGCUCCUCUAGGUGAUCCAGACCCCUCCUCAUGGUUUGGACCCAGCCUGCUCCUCUAGGUGAUCCAGACCCCUUCUCCUGGUUGUUGUGACCCAGUCUCCUCCUCUAGGUGCUCCAGACCCUUCCUUCUGGUUGCAACACAGCCUCUUCCCCUUGGCUUGCCUAACACAUUCUACCAGGUCAUGUCUCCACCUGGGCAGCUGGUCAAGGGUGACAGCUUUUCCUUUCACAUAGACAGAAUGGGACAUGCCAUGCCAAUGCAACCAAGAGGUUUGCCAUGCCCAUGCACCCAAGAGGUUGCUGAGCCUAUCCACCACUGCAGUCCUUAGCCAACCUGCCGUGGACUGGAGCUUGCUCCUUGCGAGGAGGAGAGUGGUGGGCAAAGCCUGGUUCAGCACUGCCUUCUUGCCACACAACAAAGAACAGCGCGAGUGUUGAGACAACCUUGGAAAUGAGGUUCCAGUCUGCAUUGGAUGGAUCACACUCAUCCAAGCCACUCCGCCUUGCCAGGCUGCGGAUGGCCACUGGCUCCUGCAGGUGCUUGAGCAACAGAAAGGUGGAGUUCCACCAGGACGGAACCUCCUGAGGGAGCAGGUAUUCGCCUUCAGCAUGUGCGAAGCCUUCUUACCCUGGUGGAAAUGGCCGGCUAUCUUGUGGCACUUCUCCUUGGGAGCAGCAGGGCCAGGCCCACAGCCAGGGGGUGUCCCAGGGUGUACAUUGAAGCUGGCAUAUGGCCGGCUGUGGCCGCGUAGCUGCUGGGGGACAUUUGGAAGCCCCCCACUGGCAAAGGACCGGACUUUGGACCCGAUCUCCAGCCCAAAGAACACUUCCGCAUACAUUAGGAAUAGAGGCAGAGAGUGUAGGAUUGCCUCCUUGUUCUCUCACUCUAUCAAUCUCUGCUCUGAGUUUCAUGUGAGGGGCUGAUUCUCUUGGGGCACUCCCUUCUUCUUUGUCUACUUUUCCUUCCUUCCUUCCCUCCCCAUGAAGGAAGUACAAGUUGCAGGCUUUUUAUCUAAGUUUGUAACUUGUUUAAAACAAACUGUUUUCGACCUUAAAAAACACUUUCUCCAGACCUCUACUCUGAGCUCAUCCAACUGGGUUACUCUGCUAAAGAAGGGGUUGAUUCAAAUUCCCCCCUACAAUUGGGACAUCUGUGAAACAUGUCACAAUAGGCAUGUUCACACCUGGUUCCCUUCCUGAUUGGGCAGGCUGGCGGGCGGGUGGGGGACUCUAGUCAGACCUGGCCAGGAAGAGAGGGAGAAAGGCAAAGCUGUUAUGUAAUCCUACUUACUUUGCGAAGAAGUCUUUCCUCAUCUUCUCCUCCAUCUCCCUCCCUGUUUAAUUCUUUCCCCCUGACUAACUAUCUCUCCUGUUACUAAAAGCUGACUGUCCUCCCCCCCUCGAUCCCUCCCAAAACCACCCCAAACAACAAACCAAAAAACCCCACUAACACUAACUGUAACACUGAAUAAAUAAAUAAAUUGAUAAAAAAAAAAAAUAAAGAAAUAGAUGAAUAAAUAGAUGGAUAAAUAGAUGCAUGGAUGGAUGGAUGGAUAAAUAAAUAAAUGUGACACAAAGACAGACAAGACAAGAGAGACACACACACACAAACACUCUCAGACAAAGACAGAAACUGACACAGACACGGACUCUCUAACACUCUCUUUCCUCUCUAUCUCUCCAGCUCCUCUCCACCUUGCCUAACUCUCCCACAAAGAGCAGCUGAGCCCUGGAGGUGUCAUGAAAGAGGAUGUGUCAUAAGCCUCAACAAUGGCCAUUGGUCCUCUUGCCUCUAGAGGUUGCUUCAGGACUUAUUUUUAUUUUAUUUAUUAAAACAUUUUUAUACCGCCCAAAACUUACAUCUCUGGGCAGUUUACAACAGAAUAAAAACAAAGUAAAACAUUUGUUAAGGCAGAAAUGGGGGGGGGAGAGACACACACACUACAACAAUUAAAAAUUUUUCAAAACGCCGCAUCAAAGCCAUUAAUUAAAAGCCUGGGUGAAGAAAUGUGUUUUUAAAGACUUUUAAAAAGCUGUCAGAGAAGGAGAGGCUCUUAUUUCACUAGGGAGUGCAUUCCAAAGUCUCGGGGCAGCAGCAGAGAAAGCCCGUCCCUGAGUGGCCACCAGACGAGCUGGUGGCAGCUGCAGACGGACCUCUCCAGCAGAUCUCAGUGGGUGGUGGGGUUCAUGUAGAAGAAGGCGUUCCCUUAAAUACUCAGGGCUUUAUAGGUUAUAACCAGCAACUUGUAUUUUGCCCGGAAACAUAUCGGCAGCCACUGUAGCUCCUUCAAUACAGGAGUUAUAUGGUCUCUCCAAGAUGACCCAGAGACCAGCCUGGCUGCCGCAUUCUGGACAAGCUGUAGUUUCCAGACUACAUACAAGGGCAGCCCCACAUAGAGCGCAUUACAGUAAUCCAGUCCGGAGGUUACCAGCAGAUGUACCACUGUUUUGAGGUCAUUCACCUCGAGAAACAGAUGCAGCUGGUGUAUCAGCCGAAGCUGAUAGAAGGCACUUCUGGCCACCACCUCAACCUGGGACACCAGGGAGAGGCUCAGAUCCAGAAGCACCCCUAGACGGCAUACCUGUUCCUUCUGGGGAAGUGUGGCCCCCAUCCAGAACAGGCAGAUCAAAAUAAUCUCUUGAGUUCCAACCCCGGACAAUGAGUACCUCCAUCUUAGCCAGAUUCAGUCUCAGUUUGUUAUCCAUCAUCCAGCCCAUCACCGACUCCAGGCAGGCAUUUAGGGAGGUUAUGCCCUCUCCCGAUGAUGCUGACAUGGAGAAAUAGAUUUGGGUGUCAUCAGCAUACUGGUAGCACCCUGCACCAAAUCUCCUGAUGAUCUCUCCCAGCGGUUUCAUGUAGAUAUUAAACAACAUUGGAGACAAUAUGGAGCCCUGGGGAACACCAUACAAAAGUUCAGAUUUUGAGGAACAGCAGUCUCCAAGGGAUACCAUCUGGAACCUGCCUGAGAGGUAGGAGCGGAACCACUGCAAAGCCAUGCCUCCAACUCCCAACCCCCUCAGACGCUCCAGAAGGAUACUGUGGUCGAUAGUAUCGAAAGCCGCCGAGAGGUCCAGAAGGACCAACAGAGUCACACUUCCUCUGUCAAUUCCCAAUGGAGAUCAUCCAUCAGGCCGACCAAGGCAGUCUCCACCCCAUAGACAGCCCAAAAGCCAGUUUGAAAUGGGUCAAGAUAAUCAGUUUCAUCCAAGACUGUCUGGAGCUGUGAGGCCACCACCCUCUCAAUUGCCUUGCCCAGCCACGGAAGGUUGGAUACAGGCCUGUAGUUGUUCAAGUCUGAUGGAUCCAGGGUAGGCUUCUUCAGAAGUGGUCUAAUAACUGCCUCCUUAAGACAGGGAUGCAUCCUACCUUCCCUCAGAGAUGCAUUUAUAAUCUCUACCAGGCCUUCUACAACAACCCCCCGCCAGAUAAUAUAAGCCAUGUCGGACAAGGGUCAAGAGAACAGGUGGUAGGCCGCACCAUUCCAAUCAGCUUGUCCACAUCCUGAGGCGUCAAACUGGAACUGAUCCAACCUAAUCAUACAAGAGGAGUCGCUGGACACCUCCACAUCAGACACUGAGGUAAUUGUGGAGACAGAGUCUAAGUCGGCCCGAAUACGAGAGAUGUUUUCCACAAAGAAUUCAUUAAACACAUCACAGCGGGUAAUCGAUGGUUCCAGAUUCUGAUUCAAGGGAGAAGGGGCACUCACUAGCCCUCUCACAAGCCUGAACAACUCCGCUGGAUGUGAACUUGCAGAUGCAAUACGGGCAGAAAAGAAUUGCUUCCUUACUGCACGUAUUGCCUGAGCAUAGGUCUUCAAAUGAGCUCUAUGUUGCGAUCUGUCGGAUUCAAGCCGAGUCUUUCUCCACUUGCGCUCCAGACAUCUACCUCGCCGCUUCAGCCCCCGUAGUUCUUCUGUAUACCAAGGGGCCAAUUUUGAAGCAGGUCAGAGAGAACGCUUAGGAGCAAUCAUGUCUACUGCCCCAGUGAGUUUGCUGUUCCAAUUCUCCACCAGGGCAUCAACAGGAUCACCAGCAGAGCCAACACUAAAUCCCUCCAAGGCUUCUUGAAAUCCUAUUAGCUCCAAUAACCUUCUUGGGCGGAUCAUCCUAAUAGGUCCCUCGCCCCUGCGAAGGUGGGAAGUGAUUGUGAGUCCGACCUUAACCAGAUGGUGGUCCGUCCAUGACAAUGGGGAAAUCACAGGAUUCCCCACCCACGGAACACCACCCUGAUCAGAGUGAAAGACCAAAUCAAGCGUGUGACCAGCAAUGUGUGUCGGCCCCGAGACCACUUGGGAUAGGCCCAUAGUCAUCAUGGCCGCUAUGAACUCCUGAGCCACCCCGGACAAAUUGGUCCCAAAGUGAACAUUGAAGUCCCCCAGCACCACAAGCCUGGGGGACUCCAACACCAAGUCCGAGAUCAAGUCUUUCAGCUCAGUUAGGGACCCUGUUGAGCGGCUGGGCGAUCGGUACACCAACAGAAGUCCCAGUCUAUCCCUGGUCCCCAGACUUAAGUACACACAUUCGAUAUGGUCUGACACUCUAACAGGGAUCCUGGUAAGGGAAAGGUUAUUCUUAUAGACCACAAUAACUCCACAUCCCCACCCAUGGUCCCUCACCCGCUCCUCAACAGAGUACUCUGGAGGAAGAAGCUGGGACCACACUGGACCCCCAGCCAGGUCUCUGUAAUAUAUACCGUCGGCACCUUCAUCUAGAAUCAAAUCAUGGAUGGUUUCUGAUUUGUUCUGGACAAACCUGGCAUUACAGAGGAGCAAGGUGAGGUUCCAAGGAUGAUCGGCACUGCUCCCCAAAGUCAAAGAGCUGGCAGGACAGCCGGAAGGGGAAACAGCUAUUAGAUUUCCAAGUCCCCUUCCCCUGUAACGGCCCACUGACUUGCCAACGUUACUUCUUCUGUUCCCCACCAUGACCAGAAUGGCCGCCCCACAGUCAGUGGACAUGCCUCCCGUCUUCCCAUCUCCAGUUAAGCCCAGACACAUUCUAAGAUUGUCUCACCCAGGACAAAUUAAAACAGAAGCUCCACUAUUAAAUCCCCCCCAUACAAAUACCUAGGCCAAGAGACCUGGCCCUCACCCUCACUGUCCCCCAAAGUGGCUCCCCCAAAGGGGUGACUCCCUUUGGUGUCGCCCCUUAGGUGGUGGGCCCGCCGCCACUGGCAGAAGCCUAUAUAGCCCUGAGCAGGCAGCUCUAGGCAGCUGGAAUGCAGGAAACUGCCAAGUCACCCUCCUCCCUGGCCCCAAUCCUGAAAGGCCUCACCUCAGCACAGCAACCAGUCCUGGGGGGAAGACAACAGACGGGGGGGGGGCAGCAGGACAAGCAAACAGGCAGGCACCCAGUCUCACACCCUGGGGUCUACCUGGAAGCAGAUGUUGUCUCUCCUCUCUCCUGCAAGCUUCUCUUGGAGGCAUCCCCUGCCAACCCAGCAAAGAGGAACCCUUUCAAAGGGCUGAUUCUCUUCAUUGAGCAGAGGCGGAGGAGCAGUUGGCUCUACCCAUCCCCUGUCUAGUAACCCUCCAGUGGUGCUUUCUAGUGUCUAUCUUAGGUUUCUCUUUAGACUGUGAGCCUUUGGGGACAGGGAGCCAUCUUUCUUCCUUUAAACUUACUCCACGUAAACUGCUUUGGAAAUUUGUGUCGAAAAGCAAUAUAUAAAUAAUAGUAGUAGUAGUAGUAGUAGUAGUAGUAGUAGUAGUAGUAGUAGAAAUUCUUCCAAACCUCACCCUUCCUGUUCAUAUGUCUGUUUAUCUGAGAAAUCAGAGGACUCUCUUCCCCACCAUGUUUAAAGUGACACCACCACAGGCCCCUCAGAGCAGACACCUCCACCUCCAUCCACUGCCAUUCAGCCACCUUGGUUGCUGGGAUGUGCUCUUGUUUCAGCAAGACAUGGGGACUCAUUCUUCAGCGCAAUCCUGACACUGAUUCACGUCCAGAGCUGUAUCUAGGGAAAAUAGUGCCUAGGGCAAGCACUGAAAUUGCGCCCCUGUCCAAACAGGAAUGAUGGGACUUGUAGUCAACAAUAUCUGGAAAUCCCUGUUAAAAGGAACAUUGUAUCAUCUAGACAUAGUUGUUGAUCAAAACCGGAAAACACGAGCCAUCUUUGUAAAAGACUUAGAACAACAGUCAGGAGUUCUGUGAGGAUUCCAAGUGUCAUUUUCUCUGUCUCAUAUCAUGCUUUUUAAAAAACAUGACUUUGUCCUAGACUAGAGGAUCACUUGUAUCAUCAGCUAAACGAAAUUUACAAGAAGGAUCUUAAAGUUGGAUUUGAGGAUCAAAUGUCGAGAUUCGAGAAGGAAUUGUGUGAAAAUGAUGAAAAAUUAGUCUCUAAGAUGUAUAAGUUGUUGCUUUUGGAGGAGACAAGAGAUGAAGUGGUUAAAACGACUAUGAUAAAAUGGGCUCAAGAUGUGGGUUAUAAUAUAGAUAUGGCAGCUUGGGAAAAAUUAUAGAAAACUGAUUUAAAGUUCACUGCAUGUUAUACUUUAAAAGAAAAUUAUUAUAAGAUGAUGUACAGAUGGUAUCUGACACCGAAAAAUUAGCAUUAAUAUAUAAAAAUGUUCCAAACAAAUAUUGGAAAUGUGGACAAUGUGAAGGAACUUUUUUUCAUUUGUGGUGGUCAUGCAGGAAGGAAAAGGCCUUUUGGGAUAUGACAUAUAAUGAGUUGAAGAAAAAUUUUAAAAUAACAUUUCCUACGAGGCCAGAAUCCUUCUUGCUGGGAAUAAUGCAAGGGGAGUUCUCCAGAAGAAACUUAACAUUUUUUAUGUAUGCAACCACAGCGGCUAGAAUAGUAUAUGUGCAGAAAUGGAAAGAUAAUAAAAUGCCCUCAAAAGAAGAUUGGUUGAUAAAAAUUUUGGAAAACGCUGAGAUGACAAAACUUACAGCACUCAUAAGGGAUGAAAAAUUGGAAUGUUUCAAAGAAGAUUGGGAACCAUUCUUACUUUACUUAAAGAACUGUUUUUCCAAUAUGGACCUUUCAGCAGGGUUUGAAAUUUAGUGACAACAGCAGGUUGGGCAGGGUAAAAUCGAAUUUUCAAAAUGGAGUAUAUAUGUUUUGAAUUAUUAUUGCAAUGGUAGAUUUGAAUAGCUAAUAUGAACCGUGCAGACUGGUAAGCGGGAAGUCAAUAUUUACUUAAUUAAAUAUAAUGGGAUUGUUAAGAUAUUGUAAAACUAAUAAAAUUUUAAAAUGCGAGCCUAGAGGAUUACCUGCCCAAAUAGCCACUAGCAAAAUAGCGGAAGAAGAAGGUGGCAGGGGGGUCUAUAAACCAGUGAAUGAUUCCUGCCAGCCUUUGUCUUGUAAUGAAUGUUGGCUCAUGAUGGGGUAUAUGUGCAUUCACUACACUAGUACUUGCUUUGACACCAGAAGGGAGGAGGAUACAUUAGUUUUGUUGGAAGUUAAAGGACUUUGCGCUGUCUCUUGUCUCAGACAGUGGUGGACAGACUAGUGAGUCAGAGGGCUAGAGGGUCAAGACAUUGGUCACCCCUUCUCCACUGCUCUGACACUAUUCCUUUGAAAUGUAGAUUGGUACUCUUAGGGAUUUAUUUCCUUCCUCUCUCUCUUCUCUACCUGCCCUUCUACCUUGCAACAUGGCAAGCUCCUCUCCCUGCACCAUGUGUGCAGAGAAGAUGCAGAAUCCAUCUGCAUCCAGCUAGAUAGAUAGAUUAGAGAUCUUAACUCCUCACUUUCCUAUCUAGAAUGGAGUUCCUUAAUAAAAGCCUUAUAUAUUGAUUUGAAACUAUGAAUUGGCUUCAAGUUCCUUUACUCUCAGCAUACACGCAUGCCUAAGCAAAUUCCACUGUGUUGUGCCUCUGUGCACUCUGCUAUAAUGAAAAAGGAAUUCUCUCACCACAGAGAAUUUCCAACAGGUUAUGGGAGCCCAGUAUUUUGAGCUGCGUGUACUGCAACUAGAGAGUUAGGUUUGUUCCAGGAGAUCCAGUGAGAUCUAGCGUGGACACUUUGAAUUGCUAAUCUACAGCAAUUGCCUUUUUUUGGAGCCAGUGAGGAUGGCUACUUACCUAGAGGGAAAGCUCAAGCUGACUAUCCUGAACAGACAACUAUUUGGAAUGGAAAACCUGAUUGAGGCUUGCACUGAAAGCAGAAGGACUCAAGAAAAUAACUGAGGAAGACCUGCCCGCAGAUGGAAGCACAGCUGCUGAGAAGACUGCUAAAGAAACAUGGGUGCUCAAAGAUGCUCAAGCUCAAGCUUUGAUCGCAGCUUCUGUGAGUAAAAAUUACCUUUACACCAUAUGUGAUCUUGAAACCUCAAGGGAAAUGCUAAGCAAGCUAGAUUCCUUGCAUAUGAAGAAGGGGUGGGCAUACACCUUUAACUUGAGAAAGAAAAUGCAGGAUGUGGGAUUUCUGGAUGUGGGAAAAUGCAGGAUGUGGGAUUUGUGGAAGAUUUCUUUUUUCAAUUUAAAGCGGCAGGGGAGGAAUUUAUAGAGAGUCAGAAGCUGGAAGCUCUGUUCCUAAGCAUGCCCCCCAGCUAUAGCAGUAUAAUCGGCCAAUUGGAAACCCACACCACUCUAAGCUUUGAGGAAGCAGUGCAAACAUUAUCUUCAGAGGCAAAUAGGAGGAAAGUUUUGAAUUCUCGCUAUGAAAGUGAAUUGGCAAGUAACUUUGCUCUUAAAGCAACAAUUGAUCAUUCCAGAGGAAACCCAAGGUGGGGAGGGAAUGCUGCAAGAGGAAAUCGCAUGGGGCCCCCACAAUUACAUACAAAGAGGUCUGGCUUCGGUGCCAAGGAAACUCAGUCCAGAGAGAGAGGUCACAUGACUGCCAGCAGGGAGACUGCUCCUGAAAUGAGGCCAACUGGGACUAAUGCCUUUAGAUGUUUUCUGUGUAACCAGUUUGGCCACAAGGUGGCGAACUGUCCCAAGAAUCAGACAAAGAAGAGUAACUUUACAGAAAGGUAUUCGAACAAGAGUUUUAACGUUUGCCUGAUGCAAAGCGAUGAAAAGUUCAUUUUUUUGGAUAGUGGUUCUAUGGUUCAUAUAUGAAAUAAUUUGGAUUUCUAUACUGAACUGUUUGAUAUUCCUGAAGAGACUGUUCAUUUGGGCAAUAAUACUACAAUUAAAGCCAAGAAGAAAGGCGAAGGAAUUUUGUAUUGUAAGUUACUGGAUGGAUCUGUUAAACCAUUUUUUCUUAAAGAUGUUUUGUAUAUCCCUGACUUCUCAAGCUCCUUGAUUUCAAUAUCCAAGCUAGAGAAACAAGGCUGUGAACUGUAUAUUAAAAAUGGACAAUGUGUUGUUACCCAGAAUGGAGAAGUUUGCCUUGUAGGCUCUAAAUGCAAAGGCCUAUACAGUGUGCAGGAGCAACCUGUAUCAAAGACAGACAGAGAAAGACAAGCCCAGUCUAAACCUGAGGCAUACCAGCCUAAUGAAGUGAACCUUGCUAAGUCAUGCCUGCAUGAAAACUGCUUGCAACUGUGGCAUAGACGCCUAGGACACAGGAGCUAUGAGUCAAUCCAGAACAUGAAGGAAAAGGGAUUAGCUAAUGGCAUUGAUUUUGUACCAUGUGACAUUGUAACUAACUGUGUUUGUUGUCUUGAGUCCAAAGCAGUUAAGCCAUUUCCUAAACAGAGUGAAAGGAAGACCAGAAGACCCCUGGAGCUGAUCCACAGCAAUAUAACUGGACCACUACCAGCUACUAUAGGUAAUCACAGAUUUUUUUCUCACAAUCACUGAUGAUUACACAAAAUAUUCAGUUGUGUUUCUACUAAAGGAGAAAUCACAGGUGCUUGAGAAACUCCAGGACUACGUGGCCAUGGCAAGCAACAAAUUUGGCUGGAAGCCAAAGAUCCUGUGCACAGACAAUGGAGGAGAAUAUAUGUCCAGCGCCACACAGCAGUUCCUGAGAGAACAUGGAAUCAUGCAUCAAACCAUGGUAGCUUCCAACGCAUCACAGAAUGAAGUGUCAUAAAAUAGAAGCCUCCUGGACAUGGUAAGAUGCAUGCUUGCUGACGCACACCUCCCACAGAAAAACUGGGGAGAAGGCAUCAUGACUGCUACAUACAUACAAAACAGAAUGCACACAAAGCCUAUAGGAACAACACCAUAUGAACUUUGGCAUGGUCAUAAGCCGUCCAUGAUGCAUCUGUGUGUCUUUGGAAGCACGGCUUACUCAUACAUCCCAAAGGAAAAUGGACUAAGUUAGGGGCUAGGGCCACAAAAGGGAUUUUUGUAGGCUACUCAGCACAAUCCAAAGGCUACAGAAUUCUGGAUCCUGACACCAAGAAGAUAACCAUAAGCAGAUCAGUGUAUUUUGAUGAGAAUGAAAGAGCUACACCUUCAGAGGGGGCUUACACCGUAGCAAGCAACCAGACCAAACACCCCAAUGACUGGAUUAUGCUUCCUGAUCUCAGAGGAAUUGAGGAGGAGGAGACAGCAGAUCCAGAUCCAACCACAGAGACCCCCAGCGAUCCACCAGAUGCACCUGAGAUAAUGAGAGAGACCACAGAGGGUGAGGUGAGGUGAUCAACACACGCAAACAGAGGUGUUCCAGCUCCGAAACUGUCCUACCUCACAAGAAUGGUGGAACAACCAGGACCUUCAUCAUCGGAGGAAAUAUCCCAGCUACCACAACCAGAAGCCCAGAAGUGGAAACAAGCUGCAAUUGAAGAGCUUGAGGUUCUACAGAAAAACAAAACCUGGACUCUUACUAAGUUACCUCAAGGAAGAAAAGUUAUAGGCUGCAAAUGGGUUUUCAAACUCAAACAUGAUGCUGAUGGUGAGAUUCAGCGCUACAAAGCCAGAUUAGUAGCAAAAGGAUAUUCACAGAAAUAUGGAGAAGAUUAUGAUGAAACAUUUACACCAGUGGUUAAACAUACCACAGUAAGGACUCUGUUAAGUAUUGCUGCUAGCAAAGGAAUGAAUGUUGAACACCUAGACAUGAAAACUGCAUUCCUGCAUGGUGAACUAGAAGAGGACAUUUACAUGCAACAACCACCAGGUUUCUUAGAGAAAGGCAAAGAGGACUAUGUAUGCAAACUGCAAAAGAGCAUUUAUGGUUUAAAACAGGCUGCCAGAGCAUGGAACAUAAAACUAAAUGAUAUGCUGCUUCAAGCAAACUUCAAAAGAAGCAAUGCAGAUCCCUGCCUAUACAUGAGGUGCAUAGAUGGCAAGUGGACCUAUAUUUUGGCGUAUGUUGAUGAUUUGAUUCUUGCCUAUGGAAAUCCAGAUGACAGCAAGGAAAUAGUGCAUCAUCUGAACAGAGAUGUGGAAGUCAAGCAACUUGGCAACAUUGCACACUACUUGGGCAUUCAAGUACAAAGAGAGAAAGAUGGAAGUUUCUUCAUCAACCAAGAACAGAAAAUUAAAGACUUGAUAAACCUGCUCAGACUGGAAAAUGCGAAUCCUACACCAACUCCAAUGGAAGUGAACUACAUAAAGUAAGAAGAUCAAAAUGUCGAGAUUCGAGAAGGAAUUGUGUGAAAAUGAUGAAAAAUUAGUCUCUAAGAUGUAUAAGUUGUUGCUUUUGGAGGAGACAAGAGAUGAAGUGGUUAAAACGACUAUGAUAAAAUGGGCUCAAGAUGUGGGUCAUAAUAUAGAUAUGGCAGCUUGGGAAAAAUUAUAGAAAAAUUAUAGAAAACUGAUUUAAAGUUCACUGCAUGUUAUAUUUUAAAAGAAAAUUAUUAUAAGAUGAUGUACAGGUGGUACUUGACACCGAAAAAAUUAGCAUUAAUGUAUAAAAAUGUUCCAGACGUUGGAAAUGUGGACAAUGUGAAGGAACCUUUUUUCAUUUGUGGUGGUCAUGCGGGAAGGAAAAGGCCUUUUGGGAUAUGACAUAUAAUGAGUUGAAGAAAAAUUUUUAAAUGACAUUUCCUAAGAGGCCAGAAUCCUUCUUGCUGGGAAUAAUGCAAGGAGAGUUCUCCAGAAGAAACUUAACAUUUUUUAUGUAUGUGAUAUAACCCAGGACCCCAAUUCCCAUAAAACUACAUUUAACACAGGACAACACUACAUACAGGCCCAAGGCCUGAACCUAAGCACAACCAUUUCGUGACCAAAUAUUGAACUCUUAGUUACCUUUAGAAUAUAGUUGGGCCCACAGGCCCUCCCUUCACUUCCUUUCUUCACACCAGAGCUGUCUCUGAACCUUUAGAAUGUAAAUUAAAAUUGCUAGUUUCACUCCUCCAAGGAGGCACAUCUUAGCCUUGGAAGAUAACAAUGUACAGAAGCCCUACGAGGCCCCAGCAUUCUCCUAUAACAAACCAGUUGACACUUGGGCGAGAGAAGGCCAAAGAACUAAACAAAAGGGGCAGGACAAACUGUGAAUUACAGAGUUCUGGAGACUGUUGUAUGUCAAUGCUGUGUCAAUUGCUUGAUGUUUUGAUGCAUAUGGAGAUUGAUCUAGUAUGCAAUUGCUAAAGUGUCUUCUUUCAAUAUAUUGCUAUGUCAUAGAUAUGUAGAACAAAGAACUUAGAAAUGUAUAAAUAGUUACUUGAAACUCUGAAAAACUUGCACUUGAUUUGGGCAGAUUGGUUUGCCCCAAGCUUGCCUACUUGUUGCAGAAGUAAAAUCUUUUACACUUUUCCUCUGUGUGGGAUCAAUUAUUGGCGUCAGAUACCACCCAGACAAAGAACUGGAUUUUCGGUAUAUCAAUUUGGUGCAUUGGCCGGGAAAGGGGGGAGUAGCCAAGCACCAGCCUCCCCAGUCUGGGAGCAGAGCUGCCAACCAAGGAGUCCACGGGACCCCGAAACCAGCGCGCACCAGUCAUCUUCACCGAGUUACGGACUCCCAUGGGUUUCCAACGUCCGCCGCUCGCUACGAACUGGUGACGCAAAAGGAAAAGUUGCAGCAAGAAGCAUUCUUAGCCCUGCCCUGGGAGUGUUGCCAGAGAAGGGAAUCUGGACUCUUCUAUCUACUUUCUUUGAGCAAAAACUCCACCUGAUUGAAAAUUCUGACCUGGAAAAGCCCUGUCUAAAUUUUUCUCACUUCCCCAAGUAACAGGUAACGGGUUGUCAGGACCUGGACUUACUGUGACCAGACUGAAACCCCCAGAAAACACAAAGAAAGUGGAAUUAGAGACAGAAGACAGCCAGGAUAGCCAAGAUCCUGCUAUGGAGGAAGAAGACAAUCCAGAACGCUAGAAGCAAAAUCCCAAUCUGGUCAGAGACUUUACACACACCACACCAAGAGUGGGUGGGAAGCCAAGAAAAUUUUGUAUAUUGUAAUGAAACUUAUAGCUAUGUAUGUUUGCUUAGUAUAUUGUCUGCUGUACCCAGUCUUCCAAAUCAUGGAAGCAAAAGGAAGGUGGGGACCUAAUGAGCUUGUUAAAUUGUAUCAAUCUGUUUUAGAAGAUUAUACCAGGAAUGAAUCCUGCUGGAUAUGUUCAUCCCUGAUACCCAAUCAAUCAGACCCCAACCAAUCAGGUAUCUCCAUGAUUCCAGUACCCAUUACCAAAGAGGACUGGAAGUCUGCCUCAUAUCUAAGAUUGGAAAGUAAAUAUAACUCAAAAUAACUCAAUAAUACCCAGUACCAGCUAAGGAAAAAGCCCUGGGGAGCUGAAGUGUGUUUUAACUUUACUAAUGGCCCUACCUAUUUAGGAGCCUGGCCCAGCUGUAACCAAAUAUUCACAUAUACACCACACCACCAAAAUAAAACAGACCAAGAGCUUAGAAAAUGCAACGAUCAGCUGCAAGCUAUCCCAGUAACAACAAGGCAUAGCACAAGCCUUUUUAAAUAUAUCAUCACUGAACUUACCACCUUUUAAAAAGGCUAUGAAGCAUUUACUUUACAGAUCCCUGGCCUUUACUGGCUGUGUGGAACCACUGGAUUCACGUGUAUACCUCCUAAGGCUUCAGGUCUUUGCACAAUGGGAUGGAUUUGGCCAGGGCGAUCCAUAUAAUAACUGAGGAAGCCAACAGACAUCCCGCACUCAAAGAAUCAUGCUCAGGACAGAGCCAGUCCAGCCAAAUAUACACCAUAACCAUCUCAGAGUAUGGAAACCCCACACCAGUAUAUGGGGCAACUAGGACAUGUGCAGAAAUACACACUAUGUAUCAAUUUAUAAAAGGAGUAUCUACAUCCUUAGAGAGAAUAGCGAAUGCAACAGCCAUAGAACAAGAGCUCCCUUUACAACGGAGUGGUUUGCAAAACAAACUGGCUUUAGACUCCAUUCUGCUUAGCCAGGAAGGUGCAUGUAAAUUCUUAAAUCAAACCUAUUGAAUGCAUGUAGAAAAUGGACACAUUGGAACCUCACGAGACAUCUUACGUAAAGACCAGAAAACCUACUCUCGCAAUACAGGGAGUGAAGGAAGCCUAUUGAACGUUUCUAAUAAUCUAUGUGAUAGUUUGCAUCUAUAUGUAAUUCGUUAAUUAAUUGCCUCUAUUGUACCUUGCUUCCUGAAUUGAAAAUGUUUCUUAGUUAGUUAGUUAAUAUUAUAAGCCAUAACCCACUUAUUGCCAGAUACCUCAUGAAAACAAUAGUAAAAAGCUGCUAAAAACAAAGAAGGAAACUACAGGUACUAGUCUAUGUGAAUUGCCAAAGGAUCAAGAAUAUGUUGAAGCAACGAAUUCCUGUAAGGAGGAAUUCUGGCUUCAAAGGGGGGGUCUGAUAUAACCCAGGACCCCAAUUCCCAUAAAACUACAUUUAACACAGGACAACACUACAUACAGGCCCAAGGCCUGAACCUAAGCACAACCAUUUCGUGACCAAAUAUUGAACUCUUAGUUACCUUUAGAAUAUAGUUGGGCCCACAGGCCCUCCCUUCACUUCCUUUCUUCACACCAGAGCUGUCUCUGAACCUUUAGAAUGUAAAUUAAAAUUGCUAGUUUCACUCCUCCAAGGAGGCACAUCUUAGCCUUGGAAGAUAACAAUGUACAGAGGCCCUACGAGGCCCCAGCAUUCUCCUAUAAUAAACCAGUUGACACUUGGGCGAGAGAAGGCCAAAGAACUAAACAAAAGGGGCAGGACAAACUGUGAAUUACAGAGUUCUGGAGACUGUUGUAUGUCAAUGCUGUGUCAAUUGCUUGAUGUUUUGAUGCAUAUGGAGAUUGAUCUAGUAUGCAAUUGCUAAAGUGUCUUCUUUCAAUAUAUUGCUAUGUCAUAGAUAUGUAGAACAAAGAACUUAGAAAUGUAUAAAUAGUUACUUGAAACUCUGAAAAACUUGCACUUGAUUUGGGCAGAUUGGUUUGCCCCCAGCUUGCCUACUUGCUGCAGAAGUAAAAUCUUUUACACUUUU